CAGUCGAACGAAGCACUUUAUUUGAUUUCCUUCGGGACUGAUUAUUUUGUGACUGAGUGGCGGACGGGUGAGUAACGCGUGGGUAACCUGCCUUGUACAGGGGGAUAACAGUUGGAAACGGCUGCUAAUACCGCAUAAGCGCACAGCAUCGCAUGAUGCAGUGUGAAAAACUCCGGUGGUAUAAGAUGGACCCGCGUUGGAUUAGCUAGUUGGUGAGGUAACGGCCCACCAAGGCGACGAUCCAUAGCCGACCUGAGAGGGUGACCGGCCACAUUGGGACUGAGACACGGCCCAAACUCCUACGGGAGGCAGCAGUGGGGAAUAUUGCACAAUGGGGGAAACCCUGAUGCAGCGACGCCGCGUGAGCGAAGAAGUAUUUCGGUAUGUAAAGCUCUAUCAGCAGGGAAGAAGAAUGACGGUACCUGACUAAGAAGCACCGGCUAAAUACGUGCCAGCAGCCGCGGUAAUACGUAUGGUGCAAGCGUUAUCCGGAUUUACUGGGUGUAAAGGGAGCGCAGGCGGUACGGCAAGUCUGAUGUGAAAUCCCGGGGCUCAACCCCGGUACUGCAUUGGAAACUGUCGGACUAGAGUGUCGGAGGGGUGAGUGGAAUUCCUAGUGUAGCGGUGAAAUGCGUAGAUAUUAGGAGGAACACCAGUGGCGAAGGCGGCUUACUGGACGAUUACUGACGCUGAGGCUCGAAAGCGUGGGGAGCAAACAGGAUUAGAUACCCUGGUAGU
rnacentral:rRNA from 1 species